GCUCUGAUUGCUGUGGCCAAAACUUCCAGAACUAUGUUGAAUAGUAGUGGUGAAAGUGGGCACCCUUGUCUUAUUCCUGACUUUAGGGGAAAUGCUUUCAAUUUUUCACCAUUGAGGAUAAUGUUUGCUGUGGGUUUGUCAUAGCUUUUAUUAUGUUGAGGUAUGUUCCUUCUAUUCCUGCUUUCUGGAGAGUUUUUAUCAUAAAUGGAUGUUGAAUUUUGUCAAAGGCCUUCUCUGCAUCUAUUGAGAUAAUCAUAUGGUUUUUAUUUUUCAAUUUGUUAAUGUGGUGAAUUACAUUGAUUGAUUUGCGGAUAUUGAAGAAUCCUUGCAUCCCUGGGAUAAAGCCCACUUGGUCAUGGUGUAUGAUCUUUUUAAUGUGUUGUUGGAUUCUGAUUGCUAGAAUUUUGUUGAGGAUUUUUGCAUCUAUGUUCAUCAGUGAUAUUGGCCUGUAGUUUUCUUUUUUUGUGACAUCUUUGUCAGGUUUUGGUAUUAGGGUGAUGGUGGCCUCAUAGAAUGAGUUUGGAAGUUUACCUUCCUCUGCAAUUUUCUGGAAGAGUUUGAGGAGGAUAGGUGUUAGCUCUUCUCGAAAUUUUUGGUAGAAUUCAGCUGUGAAGCCAUCUGGACCUGGGCUUUUGUUUGCUGGAAGAUUUCUGAUUACAUUAUCAAUUUCCG
ensembl:lncRNA